UCAUAAACUAAUAUUUCUGUAGACUGUUUGAUGAUCAGUUUAAUACGUUCAUGAUAUGAAUGAUUCCACACAAAAGGCAGUGUCAUCCUCACAAAGGCUCUUUAUCUUGAAAAUCAGUUAUUCAUGAACAUCCUUUGACAAAAUACAUGAAUUUGAUAACCAUUACACUGGGAGUUUGUAAACAGUUAUUUGCAGAAAUUCUACACGGAGGAACAGAAAAGGAAAAAGAAUAGCCAGACAUCCAUAGAUCUUGGGGUUUAGUGUUUCAGUCUGUUUGGGGGAAAAAUACAUUUGAACAGAGUCUCCUAAAUGAAAGGGGAGGAACAGCAGUGUGGUGUAGGUUUUGUGUCAGCUGCUAUGCUAUAGGAACAGUGUCUGUGUGACACAGAGAUAUGGGUGAGUCUCAUCUUGUGAGUGUAUCCUCAUCAGUAAAUUCACAUCCUGAUCCCCUUCACAGAGCUUCUUCCUGCAACAACACGUAGUGCAAAUAUGAGCACAACUACAUGAUCAGGCACACCUUAGAAAGAGGCCUAGUAACAUUCUCAACAUUAUGUAUUGAGCUAAUUUUUAUUUUUAUUUUUUUGCAGCAGGGUUAAGCACAUUUUGAAAAAAGGCUUCAUCAUUAAUUUGUAUUAUUUAACCAUAACCAAAACCUGCCUUAAUUACUGCAUUUUCAAAAUCAUCAAGUACAUUUGACAUAAACAACACAGGGAAUGCUAUUUGUCUCGAUGAAAUGUAAAACAUAUACAAUGAUCCAUCGCCAACCUCUGAGCUCAGAUCUCUCCGGUGAGUCUCGCGCCCGCUCUCACGGCGGCGCACCGGUGAAGCUGCCGUGGUCAGAGCACGUAGAUGAUGUAGGACAGGAACACAAGGCCGAUGAUGGCGAAGAACAUCAACAGCAGCACAUCCAGCAUGAUGCUCGCAGAGCAGCGGGUCCAGGAGAUGCGCAGGAUGCUCGGUGUCCUCCUCCUCCCUUCUAGAAAGUGCAGCCGGCAGGAAAUGGGGCCAAGCGCUGGAAAUGGGAUUCUUCCACUUUUGUAGCGUGCACACUUGGCUUAUUCGGAGCAAACCUGGCUGUACUAUACGGAAAGAUGAAGGCAACUACAUAAUUAAAAAAGGUUCCAGCGGAUAAUGGACAAAGUCCUGGAAAACUACUAGUACCCUUUCAAUUUUUCUAUUGUACUCACUGAUCAACAAUCACAGGUACAAGCUUCUAAUGUGUAUCACAGUGUGUUCGGCUUGAUGCGGCGCUGCGCAGAUCGAUCGGUGUUUGACAUCAAAGCAACGCGACACCAACUAGAAAGCAUGCAGAUCCGUCUAGUUAUUAUUGAACAGCAAACAGCAGUUAACUUAAUUCACGCGAUGUGUGUACUAGGCAUCUUUGGUUUCAUCUUUUUGUGUAAUUUAGAUGGAAAAUGUGUGCCUUUUAAUUUUUUGAAUCACUUAUAAAAAGUUGCUAAAAGAUAACAAAUAAAUAAUAAAAAAAGCUAAAUAUGUUGCUAAGUGCUUUUGGAAGAAAAAGUUGCCAUGGUAAUCUGAAAAGUUGCUAAAUCUAUCAACAAAAUUGCUAAAUUAGCAACACUGAUAUUGUUAAAAUGUUAAGGCUUUUUGAGUUCCCAGCAUGCAUUGCAGCAAGAAUAAAUUAUACAGCUACUGUUUUAGGAUUAUUGUUUUGCUGUUUGCUGACUUCAUUUAAACUUUUUUGUUGUUAUUUUGUCAUUAUUGUUAGUGAUUUGUUGUACUGUGAUGUAAAGAGCUCAUCUUUCUAACAAUUGUUGAUUGCCACCCUUCUUGUGUGUCUAGUUUUAGGCCUAAAGUAUGUGUAACCAAUUGAAUCCAUUUUAUGGAUUAUUUUAGUCUUGUAAGAUAUUUUACGAAUGAAGACAGUUUUGUUUACUUAGACAUUCGCUCACUGUUUGUCAUUGGCUUAUAAAUAUAAAAUUGAUAAUGUGGUGACUUCUUUU
ensembl:lncRNA